rnacentral:tRNA from 1 species
GCCUGGGUGGCUCAGUCGGUUAAGCAUCUGACUUCGGCUCAGGUCAUGAUCUCACGGUUUGUGGGUUUGAGUCACGCACCAGGCU